rnacentral:misc_RNA from 1 species
UUCUUUCUUCUAGGUCUACUGCUGGGACGGCAGAGUGGAUGGCCCCAGAAGUGCUGAGAAAUGAACCUUCAAAUGAAAAAUGUGAUGUAUAUAGCUUCGGUGUCAUACUAUGGGAGCUCUGUACUUUACAGCAACCAUGGGGAGGAAUGAAUCCAAUGCAAGUCGUUGGCGCUGUGGGGUUUCAGCACCGUCGUCUUGACAUACCAGAUGACACGGAUCCAGCUAUUGCAGACAUUAUCAGGAAAUGCUGGCAAACAGAUCCAAAGUUACGGCCUUCAUUUACUGAGAUAAUGGCUGCUCUGAAACCACUACAAAAGCCUAUUACUAGUUCACAUGCACCAAAACCACCAGUUGCCAGAGGCCAACCAUCGUGAAUCUUAGAAGAUGCAUCCGCGGAGCAGGGUUAAUACUGAAGAACGUAAAUAGACGUAUUUUUCGUUGAAUUUAAACAGGUCCGAAUUUGAGCUCAAGAAGCUGAAAGAAGACAUCAAAGAACCUGACAGUCAGAUACUUCAUUUUAAGCCAAAUUGUGAUUCUUUUGUUAGCAGUGUUUCCCUAGUCCUCAAAAAUUGUGUAUCUGCCUUCCCUUGUG